GAUGAACGCUAGCGGCAGGCCUAACACAUGCAAGUCGAGGGGCAUCGCGGUGCAGCAAUGCACUGGCGGCGACCGGCGUACGGGUGCGUAACGCGUAUGCAACCUGCCCCGCACCGGGGGAUAGCCCGCCGAAAGGCGGAUUAAUACCCCAUGGUCCCGGGUGUCCGCAUGGGCAUCCGGGUAAAGCCUUGGCGGUGCGGGAUGGGCAUGCGUGCCAUUAGCUGGCUGGUGGGGUAACGGCCCACCAGGGCAACGAUGGCUAGGGGGUCUGAGAGGAUGGUCCCCCACACUGGUACUGAGACACGGACCAGACUCCUACGGGAGGCAGCAGUGAGGAAUAUUGGUCAAUGGGCGAAGCCUGAACCAGCCAUGCCGCGUGCGGGAUGAAGGCCCUACGGGUUGUAAACUGCUUUUGUACGGAACGAAAAGGUCUUUUACUAAUAAAGAAGACUCAUGACGGUACCGUAAGAAUAAGCACCGGCUAAACUACGUGCCAGCAGCCGACGGUAAACUCGUA
rnacentral:rRNA from 1 species